rnacentral:rRNA from 1 species
AGUGAACGCUGGCGGCAGGCCUAAUACAUGCAAGUCGAACGGCAGCACAGCAGAGCUUGCUCUGUGGGUGACGAGUGGCGGACGGGUGAGGAAUACGUGGGAAUCUGCCCAGUCGUGGGGAUAACGUAGGGAAACUUACGCUAAUACCGCAUGCGCCCUUCGGGGAAAGCCGGGGACCUUCGGGCCUGGCGCGAUUGGAUGAGCCCACGUCGGAUUAGCUAGUUGGCGGGGUAAAGGCCCACCAAGGCGACGAUCCGUAGCUGGUCUGAGAGGAUGAUCAGCCACACUGGAACUGAGACACGGUCCAGACUCCUACGGGAGGCAGCAGUAGGGAAUAUUGGACAAUGGGCGCAAGCCUGAUCCAGCCAUGCCGCGUGAGUGAAGAAGGCCC